rnacentral:rRNA from 1 species
UACGUAGGGGGCAAGCGUUAUCCGGAUUUACUGGGUGUAAAGGGAGCGUAGACGGCCAGACAAGUCUGAAGUGAAAUCCCGCGGCUCAACCGCGGAACUGCUUUGGAAACUGCCAGGCUUGAGUGCAGGAGGGGUAAGUGGAAUUCCUAGUGUAGCGGUGAAAUGCGUAGAUAUUAGGAGGAACACCGGUGGCGAAGGCGACUUACUGGACUGUAACUGACGUUGAGGCUCGAAAGCGUGGGGAGCAAAC